GUGAGGAAUAUUGGUCAAUGGGCGGGAGCCUGAACCAGCCAAGUCGCGUGAAGGAAGAAUGAUCUAUGGUUCGUAAACUUCUUUUGCAGGGGAAUAAAGUGCAGGACGUGUCCUGUUUUGUAUGUACCCUGAGAAUAAGGAUCGGCUAACUCCGUGCCAGCAGUCGCGGUAAUACGGAGGAUCCGAGCGUUAUCCGGAUUUAUUGGGUUUAAAGGGUGCGUAGGUGGUUUGAUAAGUCAGCGGUGAAAGUUUGCAGCUUAACUGUAAAAAUGCCGUUGAAACUGUCGGACUUGAGUGUAAAUGAGGUAGGCGGAAUGCGUGGUGUAGCGGUGAAAUGCAUAGAUAUCACGCAGAACUCCGAUUGCGAAGGCAGCUUACUAAGCUACAACUGACACUGAAGCACGAAAGCGUGGGGAUCAAACAGGAUUAGAAACCCCGGUAGUCC
rnacentral:rRNA from 1 species